UGGAUAUCUACCUGCCUUGGAGUUACCUGGAUAUCUACAUGUCUCGGAGUUACCUGGAUAUCUACGUGUUUUUGAGCUUGCUGGAUAUCUGCCUUACUUGGAAUAUGUGGAUAUCUGCCUGUCUUCUUUUUACCUGGAUAUCAACCUUACUUGGAUCAACCUAUUUGUUAGUAUGCUGGAUAUCGGCCUAUCUUGGAGUUACCUGGAUAUCUGCCUUUCUUGGAGUUACCUGGAUAUCUACCUGCCUUGGGGUUACCUGGAUAUCUACAUGUCUCGGAGUUACCUGGAUAUCUACGUGUUUUGAGUAAUCCGGAUAUAUACAUGUUUUUGAGUUCACUGGAUAUCUGCCUUACUUGGAAUACGUGGAUAUCUUCCUUUCUUCUUUUUAUCUGCAUAUCUACCUUUUUUUGUUUACCUGGCUAUCAAUCCAUCUUGGAGUUACCUGGAUAUCUUCCUGCCUUAAAGUCACCUGUAUAUCUACAUGUCUCAGAGUUACCCGGAUAUCUAAGUGUUUUAAAUAAUCUGGAUAUCUGCGUGUUUUUGAGUUUGCUGGAUAUCUGCCUUACUUGGAAUACGUGGAUAUCUACCUGUUUUUUUUUACCUUGAUAUCUGCCCGUUUGUACACCUGGAUAUCAAUCCAUCUUGGAGUUACGUGAGUAUCUACAUGUCUCGGAGUUAACUGAAUAUAUACAUGUUUUGAGUAAUCAGAAUAUCUACGUGUUUUUGAAUUUUCCUUGAUAUCUGCCUUACCUGGAAUAUGUGGCUAUAUACCUUACUUGGAGCUACAUGGAUAUCUACCUUUCUUAUUUUAACCUGGCUAUGCAUCAAUCUUGGAGUCACCUGGAUAUCUUCCUGCCUUGGAGUCACCUGGAUAUCUACAUGUCUCAGAGUUACCUGGAUAUCUACAUGUCUCAGAGUUACCUGGAUAUCUACGUGUUUUAAAUAAUCUGGAUAUCUACGUGUUUUUGAGUUCACUGGAUAUCUGCCUUACUUGUAAUACGUGGAUAUCUACCUGUUUUCUUUUUACCUGCAUAUCAACCUUACUUGGAUCUGCCAGUUUGUUAGUUACCUGGAUAUCUACAUGUCUCGGAGUUACCUGGAUAUCUACGUGUUUUUGAGCUUGCUGGAUAUCUGCCUUACUUGGAAUAUGUGGAUAUCUACCUGUCUUCUUUUUACCUGGAAAUCAUCCUUACUUGGAGCUACAUGGAUAUCUACCUGUCUUCUUUUUACCUGGAUAUCUACCUAUUUUUGUUCACUUGGAUAUCAAUCCACCUUGGAGUUACGUGGGUAUCUACAUGUCUCGGAAUUAAGUGAAUAUAUACAUGUUUUGAGUAAUUAGAAUAUAUGUACGUGUUUUUGAAUUUUCCUGGAUAUCUGCCUUACCUGGAAUAUGUGGCUAUAUACCUUACUUGGAGCUACAUGGAUAUCUACCUUUCUUAUUUUUACCUGGAUAUGCAUCUAUCUUGGAGUUACCUGGAUAUCUUCCUGCCUUGGAGUCACCUGGAUAUCUACAUGUCUCAGAGUUACCUGGAUAUCUACGUGUUUUAAAUAAUCUGGAUAUUUACGCGUUUUUGAGUUUGCUGGAUAUGUGCCUUACUUGGAAUAUGUGGAUAUCUACCUGUCUUCUUUUUACCUUGAUAUCUGCCUUACUUGGAGCUACAUGGAUAUCUACCUGUCUUCUUUUUACCUGGAUAUCUACCUGUUUUUUUACACCUGGAUAUCAAUCCAUGUUGGAGUUACCUGGAUAUCUACGUGUUUUUGAGUUUGCUGGAUAUCUGCCUUACUUGGAAUAUGUGGCUAUCUACCUGGUUUCUUUUAACCUGGAUAUCUACCUGUUUUUUUACACCUGGAUAUCAGUCCAUGUCGGAGUUAUCUGGAUAUCUGCCUGUUUUUUAGUUUACUGGAUAUCGGCAUGUCACGGAGUUACCUGGAUAUCGGCAUCGUUUGAGUAAUUCUGAUAUCUACGUGUUUUUGAGUUUGCUGGAUAUCUACCUGUUUUCUUUUUACCUGGAUAUCUGCCUUACUUGGAACUUCAUGGAUAUCUACCUGUCUUUGAUUUACCUGGAUAUCUACCUAUUUUUGUUCACCUCGAUAUCAAUCCACUUUGGAGUUACCUGGAUAUCUGCCUUACUUGAAAUGACGUGGAUACCUACCUGUCUUCUUUUAACCUGGAUUUCUACCUGUUUUUUUAGUUUACUGGAUAUCCGCCUUUCUCUGAGUUACCUGGAUAUCAAUCUUUCUCGGAGUUACCUGGAUAUCUACCUGCCUUGGAGUUACCUUGAUAUCUACUUGUCUCGGAGCUACCUGAUUUGAUUUACAUGGUCCUCCCAGCACUUCCAGUACUGACAGACAAAGUGCUGAGUCAUUCCUCCACUGAGCCGAUAGACGCUGAGUCAGCAGGCGGACAAACUGAACCCAGAGGAUCCCCGCUGAGCCUGACUGGACUGUCGGUGACCAUGGCAACACACAAGAUGUUGCAGGGAGACACCAACACAGGAAAGACUGCUUGUCAACUCCAGCUAAUCAUCCAUAGCUUCCUAGCUUCCUACCAGUCGGCCAAUUUUCAUCCAAAGGGGGUGUGGCUUCACUGCAAUCUUUUUAAUGCUCCAUUAAUGUGGUGUUGGACAAAUCGGAACACAAGGUACCAUAUUGGAAAAAGCAUGUGAAUGACUACUCCAGUUGGAACAACAACUCAGGUGAGAUUUUGGUGCCUGACUUACAGAGUUGACGUAACAUUAGUCAUCAACAUGUUGGGUAAACAAUGUUUUGUUGUUAUUAAGAAACUGUUAAUUUACAUAUUGCACAUCAACUUUUUGCUUCAGCAUACAUUUUUAAUAUGGUAUCACUAUCAGUUGUCCUCGUGGAGUGAACUAGACUCGUUAGAAAAGUUAUUUAUUAGCAUUAAUAUGGUAUGUAACCCAUGAUAAUAAGUCAGGUACACUAGCUAAAACAAUAUAUUGGUAUUUAUCAGCUUCCCACCUCCAUUAAACAGGGUCGGUCUAGAAAUGUCUGAUUGGGUUACGAAGUUAGAAAUGUACAUGAGCUCUGUUGAACCAUUUUUCAUAUGGAAGAUAUCAUUAUGAAGCAGGAGUCAGAAGUCUGAGACUCACAGAGGAUGAUCUGUGUGUUGAAGGUGUCUGUCUCCGUCUGCAGAGCUCCCAUCAGGACACUGAUGAGGCGAGGCUUCAGGGACAGGAAGCUAGCUGCUGUGAUGUGAUCACCACUGAGCCGCCUGUCCAGUAGCAUCUGAAUACACACACACGGUUGAAUGUCACUGGGUCUGACAUGACUUGCGCUGAUUUCGGUGCUGAACUCAAAAACAUAAAAUUGCUGCAAGGGAGAGAUGUGGGGGAGGUGUUGGGGGGAACCGUGCAAGGGCAAUUAACACAGGUGAAGACUGUUUGUUGAUUGCUCCCCUUUUCCCCUGCAGUGGCAUGCUGGACCUGGCAGACAGGAGAGAAGAGCCACAGGAGCAAGAGCAGUCUCCUGCCAUGCAGCUUCUGAGUUAUCGCUUCUAAAAAGCAUUAGAAGUAGUUUUGUGUUUUGUGUUUUUAAAAUAAAGGAGUGCUCACAGUGGCAUCUACUAUGGUCAUUCGGCUGAGGAACCCUGUAACACAGUCGUUUGUUACAGUCAUCUCUGCACAAGUUUGUGUAGAUGUUGGGUAGGAGCUCACCUGUGAUUGGACAGAAGGGAAGUGCAGUGGAAGAGGCAGCAGGGACAGCAGGAUGAGGAUUGAACCUCGCCUCAAAUCCACCUGGUUCACAAAACCCUUAAAUCUCAGCAGUUCCC